AACAAUACAAUGACGUCACAUCAACAAUACAAUGCGUCACAUCAACAAUACAAUCACGUCACAUCAACAAUACAAUCACGUCACAUCAACAAUUUAAUCACAUCACACCAUCAAAUUCUUGCAUUGGCAAAGCCUCAUGUCUGGCAACUUAAGAUCUUCCCCCACCGGGUUGAGAUUCCCCUGUCCCGCCCCAAAGGGGGGAGAGAUUCUGUUAAUCGCUAGGAAAUAUAACACUUAUUGCUAUUACUAUUAGUGGAAUAUAUGUCCAAGGGGAGGACUCCAUAAAAAAGAAAUUCCAUGCAUUGUGAGUGUGGGAGAAAGUGGGUCGUAGGAUGUGGAAAUGAUUUAAAUUAAAUCUCUUCUGCUGGUGGUUUGUUUGAGAAAACCUUAGUCCUCCUGUUAGAUAGAUAUUAUAGAUCUUCUCAGUAGUAUCACUGGCAUGAGAUAGAAUUUUAAAUUGUGGUGUGAAAUAGAAAUACAAUUUCAUUUGUCAAACACCAAAUUGUCAAUGUUAAGGGUUUAAUGUUCUUUGUACUCUGUACAAAACUGUGAAUGAUGAUUUUUUACUAGAUUAUUAAUUUACCCGGAUAACACAACACUAAAAAUGUAUGAAGCAAAUGUGUGAUAAAGGAUAGGUUUUCAUCAAGAUGUUCUCUCAUGUUUGAUCGUAACAUGUUGAUUGUAACAUGUUAGAGAUUGUAUAGGAAAAGGCAGAAGAUGUUGUUCCCAGAAAUUUUGCAAUCAGAGAUAAAAAAAUGAUAGAUGAUGAUAACUCUGAGAAAUUACCACAAAAAUGAAAACCUAUCCUAUGUUUUUGCAAGGAAUCUCAGGUGAAACUUGGUAGACUGCAUAAUUACAAUAUGUAGCUGUGUAUUUCUGAGUGGGAUUUUGAUUCAGCAAUAUUGAAAGAGUGAGAGAAAUUAAUAUUUUUGUUUAAAAUAUAUGUCUUUAAGAUUUAAAAACUGAAAAAUAUAAGCAUUUGUGUCUAUAAAUUGUUUUCAUGAUUGUGCAAUUAGACAUGUAUGUAGUCAAUCUUGUCAGCAUGUCACUUUGUUUGCUAAAAUGUAUUGCAGAAAGUCUUACAGAUCACAAGUCCCCCCAAGUAACUGUCUUUAGGCACCGUUUUUCUCUACUAUCUUAUAUUUGAUCAUGUCUGUGUAUUUAUUCAUGUGUCUGUCCGCCAUCGGUUCAUCCAUGCCGAUGCAAAGCUUUGUAUGAUUAAGAUAUAUCAUGAACCGGUUGACUGAUUUAGUUCAUAUUCGCACCAUAACAUCACACCACCAAGUUCUACACCUGUCCAGAUUUUGGUGAUCAUUGGUCAAGAUUAAAGGUCAAAGAUUACAUUUGACCACUUUCAAAAUAAAAAAAAAAACAUGUACAAGAUAUCUGGAGAAUCCCUGGAGGUUUACUUCAUGAUUAGAGGGGUAAGGGGGGUCAAGUUACUUGGAUGUUUCUGAUAAUAUGUCUGAAAGUCAAAAUCUGAUAUCAGACAGCAUCACAGGGAUUUGUCACAAAAUGCCAACCCAUGUUUGUAUUGUAUGUUAGCAUUAUAUAAUAUAUACAUAAGGUGGAAAUUUGCAUCAAGUCCCUGUGUUCAGUACAUGGCUAGCUUCUUUUGGCUAUGGAGUAUAAUCCCAACCAAACGCUUGUUUCUAAAUUUUAUACUGUAUACUACUUUGAUUGUUAUACCAUAUACCGGUAGUAAUUGAUAAAAGUUUGGGGGUCAUGUUCUUUUGUUUCUUUGAAUUUAGUCUUUUAUUUGCUUCAAUGAUAGAUUUUAUUAAAACCGUUAUUUGUAACUGCUUGUUAUUAUUUUGAGAACAAUACUUAUAGUUUUAUCCUUUAUUACCUAUUCUUUUUCUUAAUUCUUUAUAAUUGUAAUAUUUUAUAUUUGUUUACAAGGGAAAGUCCUGUUCCGUCCACAUGAAAUACAUAAUGUUAUAAUGAAAUUAUGAAUUGAAAAAUACAUUGUAUAACUGUGAAUUAUGACAUUUUUUUUUUUAUUAUUAAUCUACAAAGUGCUAAAAUUUCUUCCUAUUACAAUCUGCUGUCUGUAUUCAAGAUCCAUUUUUUCAGUCGAAGGUUCGUAAUUUUUAUUCGGUAAAAACAUCAAAAUAGUAUAACCUCAUGGAAAGGAAUAAAAUAAUAAUUAUUACUGUAUGAAAUAUUCUUGGUUUAUAUAAUGCGGCUGGAGGUUUUAGCUUGAAUUAUUAACACAUACAGCAUACUUUGUUUUACCAUGGUCUAUAUUGUUUAAGUCUUUAAUUUGACCGAAUUUAAAAUGUUGGUAAAGUGUCAGACUAUGGGUAAAUAUAUACCAUAUUGGUUGUGUUAUAUAUCGUCUAUCAUAUUUUCAUUACCAACCCGAAGAAAAUGUUCCCGAAUAAGACUGGGCAGCAAGUCAUGAGGUUCCUUCAGUCUCUCCUAUGUAGAAAUCAUCUCUAAUAUUUUAUAAAAAAUAUUAUCCUUUGUGGUUGUUUCUGAUAAACGAAUCAUGUACAUUGUACUUUUGACUGGGCUUGAAAUGUUCCAUAAUGACAGAAUGAAAAAUGAAUCCCACAGUCCAUCAUAGGAACAUGUCAAGGCCCUGUGUCUUGAGGUACAAGCCAGAAAGAUUUUUAUUGAAGAGCUAGCUGACUGCCAUUUAAUAUGGGACAAAUUUUGUUAAAGUGUAGCAUCACCAAAGUUUUAGGAAUAUUUAUCAUUGUUUAAGCAUAAAUAGGAUCUGAUUAUGUAUGUUCACAUGUUUUAAAAUGACAAUUGUUUUAUGGCAGAAAAAAAUAAUGUGUUCUGUUAUAUCAUCCAUUGUAGAACUGCCUCUGACAAAGAAUCUCACCAAAAAGGAUAACAUUAUUCAUGUAUGUAUGAAUUGUAAAAAAUGAAAUAAAAAUAUUUUAUUGCAAUUUGAGUUUCGUUGUAAUACCAGACAUGAACAAUAAUUUGAUAAAAGAGAUGAUUAAAUGUUUGACCCUUUAACCUUUCCCAAUAAGCUAAUUCGUAGAAAUUAUAUUUUUCGUUAACCAUAUGGGUCAUAACUCUGCCAAAUAACGUCCGCAGAAAGUGGUGAU